UGGAUCGUAUCUUUGGAUCAUAUUCUAAGGCAAACAUUUAAUACAGAUACAGCAGCGUCCCCAGGUGUGAAAUAAACCUAGGCCCACACACCUGGGUUGUCGUUUUCACCUAUACCAUAUCUCCAAUAAAUCAUCGGCC